rnacentral:rRNA from 1 species
UGAUGCAGCAACGCCGCGUGAGUGAUGAAGGUUUUCGGAUCGUAAAGCUCUGUCUUUGGGGAAGAUAAUGACGGUACCCAAGGAGGAAGCCACGGCUAACUACGUGCCAGCAGCCGCGGUAAUACGUAGGUGGCGAGCGUUAUCCGGAUUUACUGGGCGUAAAGGGAGCGUAGGCGGAUGAUUAAGUGGGAUGUGAAAUACCCGGGCUCAACUUGGGUGCUGCAUUCCAAACUGGUUAUCUAGAGUGCAGGAGAGGAGAGUGGAAUUCCUAGUGUAGCGGUGAAAUGCGUAGAGAUUAGGAAGAACACCAGUGGCGAAGGCGACUCUCUGGACUGUAACUGACGCUGAGGCUCGAAAGCGUGGGGAGCAAACAGGAUUAGAAACCCGGGUAG